rnacentral:rRNA from 1 species
GAUGAACGCUAGCGGCAGGCCUAAUACAUGCAGGUCGGACGGGAUUCAGGAGCUUGCUUCUGAUGAGAGUGGCGCACGGGUGCGUAACACGUAUGUAACCUACCUUUAUCAGGGGGAUAGCCUCUCGAAAGAGAGAUUAAGCCCGCAUAAAAUCACAGCACAGCAUUGUGUAAUGAUCAAAUAUUUAUAGGAUAAAGAUGGGCAUGCGGAACAUUAGCUAGAUGGCGGGGUAACGUCCCACCAUGGCGACGAUGUUUAGGGGAUCUGAGAGGAUGGCCCCACACACUGGUACUGAGACACGGACCAGACUCGUACGGGAGGCAGCAGUAAGGAAUAUUGGUCAAUGGGCGGAAGCCUGAAACAGCCAUGCCGCGUGCAGGAAGACGGCCCUACGGGUUGUAAACUGCUUUUAUACGGGAAUAAACCCAGAUACGUGUAUCUGGCUGAAUGUACUGGAAGAAUAAGGAUCGGCUAACUCCGUG